CAUGUGUCUGCGACGUCGCAUUCGGCUGCUGGUGACCUGGGGAUGCGUCAGGACCAGGAUCAUCUGCUUGCAGACCUCGGCUUGACUGCAGUUCUGGAUGACCGUCUUCCUCCCUCUGGGGACUCCUCUGCAGCACUCACCUCCCCACAUCGCCCAGACUGCCCUCAUCGGUCGUCAGCCACCUAAGACAGGGGCGAUGGGCACUCGAGGCAUCGCAAGUUACAGCUGAGGCCGUCUAAAAAGAAAUUUGGAGGAUCGUCAAGCCCAGAAGUGGGUGAGAGGACCCCCUCCUUCAG